GUUGAUGUUGUUGAAGUGUUUUUAUAUGUUGUCCAUUUUUCAUUUAGUUGCUACCUUUGUUGGGAUGAGGCUCGUACCAUUUAUAGUUCUUGUGGGCAUUGCUUUUUUGCUGGUUGCCGAGAAUCGCCAAUGGUACGAUUUUCACAAAUACAUAAAUUUGCCCAUCAUAGGAAUUGCAACUUAAGAUCACGGCAGUUCCAUAAAGUUCCUAAAUAAUGUAGAAUACGCUGUGAAUAUUUAAACGGUGACAUAAAGAAUAUGGUUAAUGGAGAACCUAAAGCGGAGGCACAUCAAUCAGAUCAUAAAAAGAAUGGGGAGAACGCAGAAAGAGCUGCAGUUUAAAUAAAAUUAAGUUCUGAUGAUCUAUUCUUAAGAUUUCAGCAAACAAUUUGAAUAAAAAUAGCACAAAGGCUUCUGUUUCUUCGCGAAUAAAGUUUUAUUGUUAAAGA